rnacentral:rRNA from 1 species
GAUGAACGCUGGCGGCGUGCCUAAUACAUGCAAGUCGAGCGAACAGACGAGGAGCUUGCUCCUCUGACGUUAGCGGCGGACGGGUGAGUAACACGUGGAUAACCUACCUAUAAGACUGGGAUAACUUCGGGAAACCGGAGCUAAUACCGGAUAAUAUAUUGAACCGCAUGGUUCAAUAGUGAAAGACGGUUUUGCUGUCACUUAUAGAUGGAUCCGCGCCGCAUUAGCUAGUUGGUAAGGUAACGGCUUACCAAGGCAACGAUGCGUAGCCGACCUGAGAGGGUGAUCGGCCACACUGGAACUGAGACACGGUCCAGACUCCUACGGGAGGCAGCAGUAGGGAAUCUUCCGCAAUGGGCGAAAGCUUGACGGAGCAACGCCGCGUGAGUGAUGAAGGUCUUCGGAUCGUAAAAAUCUGUUAUUAGGGAAGAACAAAUGUGGAAGUAACUAUGCACGGCUUGACGGUAACUAAUAAGAAAGCCACGGCUAACUACGUG